GACGAACGCUGGCGGCGUGCUUAACACAUGCAAGUCGAACGGAAAGGCCCUGCUUUUGUGGGGUGCUCGAGUGGCGAACGGGUGAGUAGCACGUGAGUAACCUGCCCUUGACUUUGGGAUAACUUCAGGAAACUGGGGCUAAUACCGGAUAGGAGCUCCUGCUGCAUGGUGGGGGUUGGAAAGUUUCGGCGGUUGGGGAUGGACUCGCGGCUUAUCAGCUUGUUGGUGGGGUAGUGGCUUACCAAGGCUUUGACGGGUAGCCGGCCUGAGAGGGUGACCGGCCACAUUGGGACUGAGAUACGGCCCAGACUCCUACGGGAGGCAGCAGUGGGGAAUAUUGCACAAUGGGCGGAAGCCUGAUGCAGCAACGCCGCGUGCGGGAUGACGGCCUUCGGGUUGUAAACCGCUUUCGCCUGUGACGAAGCGUGAGUGACGGUAAUGGGUAAAGAAGCACCGGCUAACUACGU
rnacentral:rRNA from 1 species